rnacentral:lncRNA from 1 species
GAGUCAGCUCGGUUCAAAGAGGAGUCGACUCUAAAUUUCAAUAAGGCUUUUCUUGAACAAUUUGCACUGUAGUAUGGUAGUAAACUUGCACUGUUCAAAUGGUUGGUGGUUUACAUGUUAUAUGUUCUUAUGAUAUAUUGGUUGGUGGAUGAGAUACGAUGACGAUGAAUCAAAUUGCAGCCUAGCCAUAGUUGAGAGAUUUUAAAUGGAGGAGGA